rnacentral:hammerhead_ribozyme from 1 species
CUGCUGAUGAGUCCCACAACAGGACGAAACGGCCGUCCAG